rnacentral:pre_miRNA from 1 species
AACAGGUUACUUGUGGUGCAGUGUGGUAGUGGAAAAAGCUGCAUUACGUGUGACCUGCCCA